GUGCGGCGUUGAGGCUGUGACCUGAUCCCGCCUCUUGGUCACCCUGGAAUCAGGUAGUCAAUGGUGAAACCGGCAACGUGCAA
rnacentral:ncRNA from 1 species